UCAUUUCAGAGCACUGAUCAGGGAUAGUGACUGACUGACACUGCUGCAAAAACUCUACAGUCAGCAAAAUACAAACAGGUUUUAGAUACAGAGACAGCAGAACAGCAUGGCCACUGCGAAUGAAAAAGACACAGUGUGGAUCGGGUUCAUGGAUAUCGUUCCGGUCAUCGGGAAGGUUAAAGAGGCAGUGGAGCUGGUGCUGGCUCUGUACGAAGGGAAUAAAGCGGUGAUAAAGGAGAAAGAGAAGGCCGUUGAAAACAUUGUGAAAUUUUGAUUUUAAGGAUGUAAUCAUCUCUUAUGAGGCUCAGAGUUCCCGAAGUGAAUUAUUUUCAUACAGCAGCAUGGUCUAUCAUGUGUUAUUCUUUGCAUACAAUAUGGUAUAAUUAUUGCAUGUCACAGUGCACCAUCAUGCCAGUCUAUGUCCAGUCUAUGUCCAGUCCAUUUAAUUUUUUUAUCUUUCCAUAACUAGAAGAUGACUAAAUCAGCAGCAUUUCCAGCUGAUAAAUCAGCAGCAUUUCCAGCUGAUAAAACAGCAGCAGCUGCAGCUGAAUUUUCUGGACUCGGAAAUGUGAGAGAGGUCAGAAUGGAAAUGGUUAUUGUACAUCUGGCCCAAGCUUUCACAAGGGGAAAAAAAGUUCAAACUUCAGCUGAGCAGAAAAGUGAGCAGAAAGACAGACAGAAAAAAAUGGAGUACAUUAAGAAAGACAUGUUAGAAAAGAUCCAUAUGAUCGAUCCAAACUUCAAUGAGGAGCUGAAGGAAGAACUGAGAAGGUCACAAAGAGGCGAACAUGUCUUCAACAAUAACAUUCUUAAAUUUCAUUGCAAAGUGCUAGAUGAUUUUAUACAAGAACAAAAUAUUGAUAAUCUACAAAGAUAUAAUCCGCAGGAAAUGGAUACAUUACGCAGACAGACACUUACCCAAAAUGCAGAAGAAGAAAUUCAGACAAACAUGGUGGUUCACUUUGGUGAGGAUGAAUUCUAUGUGAAUGCAAAUGCAGUGAUAUAUGGUGUAUAUUGCAGAGCACUGCGUGGUGCUUUGUUAAAUGUGCUGCGCCACAUAAACCCAGGUGAGGUGGCAGAAGAGAAGAGACAUUGGGUGAAUUUUGUCAUAAAUACUAUGAAUAACUAUGAAAUCUAUGUGGACCAAAUGGCAAAGGUCCGUUGGAUUGCCAAUAUAGAGACUAGACGGGCCCGGUUUGAACGGGUAAAACAGGAAGUUGUGACCAUGUAUAACACAGAUCGUGGGUAUGACUGGUGCAUUAGCAUUCUGCAUGAAGUUGCAGGUUUGUUUGAACAUAGACAGUGAGUUCAUUUCUCCUGUUCAGGGUUGCCAGGUUUCCUUUCAAAAUUUCCAUCUUAACUACAUCCUAAAUCCCACAGACCUGAAACUAGCUGAAAGUUUGGACACUGGAAGAAACAAAGUUCACUGUGGUGCACACAUAUUUGUAUGUUUGCAAUGUUUCCAACACACUUAGGGUCAGAGUUUUGUCACCCAUAGCCUGUUACAACUGUUAUUUUUUAUUUUAUUUAUUUCAUUUAUUUGUACAGGGACAACGUACAACAACAGUGUCAUGCCAGAGUUAGCUAUAAAGCUAAUUUGUAUCUGCAAUCCCUGGGCAGGAUGUUCUUACAAAAUUACAAUAUUAAGUGACAAACAAUACAAUAAAUAUUACACAUACAACAUCACAUCAUACUACAUUAAAUUACAAAUCCAAGUCAAUGAUCACAUAUCUGAUUUUCCUUAAGCCAUACUUUAAGCAUAGUUGUAAAAAUACUAAGUGUUGCACACUCUCUAAUAUAAACAGGUCUUAAAUUCCAUCUUUCUGCUGCUCUAACCGAAAAAGCUGAUUGUCCAAAAAUAGUUUCUUAAAUUUAGUUGAACAGUCACCUCUAACUGAUGACCUAGUCUGCCUGAUAUUGUCCUUUCAGAAAGUCACACAUUGUUUAAGAGGUGGUGGUGCAAGAUUAUGAAAUACUUUGUACAUUAAACAGACAUCAGCAAAUAAAAAAAAAAAUGUUAA